rnacentral:rRNA from 1 species
AGUGAACGCUGGCGGCGUGCCUAAUACAUGCAAGUCGAACGAAGUGGCGCACGGGUGAGUAAUAUAUAGUUAAUCUGCCCUACACAGAGGAACAACAGUUGGAAACGGCUGCUAAUACCUCCUAGUGUAGGAUGAGACUAUAUCGUAUCAGCUAGUUGGUGAGGUAAUGGCUUACCAAGGCGAUGACGCGUCACUGGUGUGAGAGGAUGAGCAGUAACAUUCGAAGUGAGACACCGUCGAGACACCUACGGGAGGCAGCAGAAAGGAAUUGUGCGCAAUGCGGGUAACUGUGACGCAGCUACGCGGCGUGGAGGAUGAUACUUGGCGGAGCGUAAACUCCUUUUAUCAGGAAAGCGGUACCCGAUGAAUAAGCACCGGCUAACUCCGUGCCAGCAGCCGCGGUAAUUC